rnacentral:lncRNA from 1 species
UCACACAUCGUAGCCGAAAGUAGUAGUGGAAGCAAAACUGUGAGGACAGUGGUCUGAUUAGCUACAGGUUCGAACUACUUCGGCAAAGUCCGUGAAGGCGCUCUGAGAUUUUCAUUUCUCAAUCGUACAACGGUGGUCGCUACGAAGGUCUUGAAAUAGAAGAGAAUCUCUGAUCCGCAUCAUAAAAAUACAUUGCUGCUUCCUGGCCUUCGCGCCGCUCCUCGACUGCGCCCGUUCUAUUCAACCGCGAAAAUUCUGCAGGAAUUUUAAUAACUCGGAUUCGUACUGAUUAAAACGGAGGUCGCAUCCGACAUUUCACCGACCAGUCUCUGGUUACUAGUUGGCGGCGGGUGGAGGGGGGGCCAAUCGGCACCCCGGUAUACCGAUUCUCAUCGCCGAUGGAGGCGCGUUGUCCAAUUACGAUAAUGAGGCAUCGUCGUCGUCGUCGUCGUCGUCGUCGUCGUCGUGUCGUUUCACGGUAAAGAAUGAAUCGUCCUUGACGCUUGGAUGAACAACGAUGCAACGUUGCGACCUAUUCUAUGAUGGCCGAAUAUAGGAGAGAGACCGGAAGUGGAAGAACCAG